ensembl:misc_RNA Metazoa_SRP Metazoan signal recognition particle RNA
GCUGGGCGUGGUGAUGCACGCCUGUAAUCCCAGCUACUAAGGAGGCUGAGUCAGGAGAAUCGCUUGAACCUGGGGGGCAGAGGUUGCAGUGAGUCAAGAUCGCAUCACUGCACUCCAGCCUGGGCAACAGAGUGAUACUCUGUCUCAA